rnacentral:rRNA from 1 species
GGACGAACGCUGGCGGCGUGCUAAUACAUGCAAGUAGAACGCACAGGAUGCACCGUAGUUUACUACACCGUAUCCUGUGAGUUGCGAACGGGUGAGUAACGCGUAGGUAACCUGCCUGGUAGCGGGGGAUAACUAUUGGAAACGAUAGCUAAUACCGCAUAAGAACAUUUACUGCAUGGUAGAUGUUUAAAAGGUGCAAGAGCAUCACUACCAGAUGGACCUGCGUUGUAUUAGCUAGUUGGUGAGGUAACGGCUCACCAAGGCAACGAUACAUAGCCGACCUGAGAGGGUGAUCGGCCACACUGGGACUGAGACACGGCCCAGACUCCUACGGGAGGCAGCAGUAGGGAAUCUUCGGCAAUGGGGGGAACCCUGACCGAGCAACGCCGCGUGAGUGAAGAAGGUUUUCGGAUCGUAAAGCUCUGUUGUUAAGGAAGAACGUGUGUGAGAGUGGAAAGUUCACACAGUGACGGUACUUAACCAGAAAGGGACGGCUAACUACGUGCCAGCAGCCGCGGUAAUACGUAGGUCCCGAGCGUUGUCCGGAUUUAUUGGGCGUAAAGCGAGCGCAGGCGGUUAGAUAAGUCUGAAGUGAAAGGCAGUGGCUCAACCAUUGUAGGCUUUGGAAACUGUUUAACUUGAGUGCAGAAGGGGAGAGUGGAAUUCCAUGUGUAGCGGUGAAAUGCGUAGAUAUAUGGAGGAACACCGGUGGCGAAAGCGGCUCUCUGGUCUGUAACUGACGCUGAGGCUCGAAAGCGUGGGG